UAAAAAUCAGAUUAAUAGAAGUGAGAUGUAGCCACAGUGGUAUGUAUAUGGGUUUGAAAGUGAUGGGUAUAUUUCUCUUUUUUUUUUUUUUUCCUACAGGUUAGUUGAGAAGCCAUGGCAGCUUCUCAAGUAUCCUAUUUUUUACCUUUAAAGGCAGUUUGUGCAGUGUGUCAUUAUCUCGUGGAAUGUAAGCCUACUGCAUACACAAGUUUUCAAGCAGCCUUGCCUUGUAAUAAUUGCAGCUGUUUUGGAAUUUGAAAUAGUUUGGUUUCAGUGUGCAGUACUUGAGACAAUCCGGAAAGUUUAAUACAUCACAGAUUUGACAGAAGAGCUAUUCUAAAGUUGUCCCUUCCCUUGAAACCCAUUAUUACGUCAGAUAAUUUUAAAAGUUUAAGUUGCAUUUAAGCUUCUGGUGUGUGUUAGGGCAUCCAGAUGUUCUACUGUGUACUGUAUCUGUUCUUCUGAUCUCUUGUGAGGCCUGGGGUUUUGUCUAAGCUGACAAAAAUACUGGCCCCUUCCAAAAUCCUUCUAUACUAUGAGACAUUUUCUUAAAAUGCAUUAAUCACACAGAUACCUGAGAAAAUGUAAAUUAAUAGGAAGGUUAAGAGGUAGGAAUAAAUUGCUGAGCUGCAUGAAGACAAAGCAAAUUUAGACAAAAUAUAAUACUUCAGACCAGUGUCAGCUUUUUGGUGGCUGCUAAAUAAUUUAAAAACUAGUUCUUCAGAGUCUGAAAAAAGUGACCAUCGUUGCCAAAUUUAGUCUGAAAGUAAUCCUCAGUCCAAGUCGGGUUUUGAAAACAUGAUAUGGGAGUUAAUGGUUUGAUUUGUUUUUCUCUAAGAAAGAAAAAAUAAAAAAUCAGCUUUACAGCAAGUAAGUAUCUCCUGGCAAGCUGCCUGGUCCAUCUUUAGCCUGGUAGCUUCACUUCUUAAAUUCUGAAAUGCUUAGCUGUGUUUGAACAGCCCUAAGAGUUCUUAGAUUAUUUUUUUUUGCCGUCCUACAGAUCACGUGUGCCCUCAGCUGCUUUGCUGGAGUCUUGCAACCGUAUCACAAAUCUUAGUUGGCUGUGAGGUAGCCAUGGACAAUGUCUUCAUAGGCUUUGUGCCAUUUUCAGGUAAAAGGCAGUGAGGGAUGUCUGUGGAAGGCUGAGGUCAUUAGUGCAGUCUCCUGCUUGCCCCUUACCUUUCUCCCUUUUUGCAGUUUUGCCCUAGGAUUGCUUGAGAACAGGUUUCCUUACGUUUUUCCUCUGUCUUGCCCAUGAGAGCAAAGAGCAGUGAUUACCUUACCUGGCAAUCCUUUUGUAUUUGAAAACUCAGCUACCCGGAAUGUGUGUGUGCUUACAGGUGUGAUGCAGAUGUUGCACCAAGCGGAAAGGUGUAGGCAGCCUUGUGGAACCUGUAAGUGUAUCUCCAUGUUUCUGUAAUGCCACCGACUGUCCCUUUGCGGCUUGGGACAGUCAGAGUGACGGUAUCGCACACAGGUCCAUCAGUAUUUGUGGAUGGAGGAGAAAGCCUGGCCCGUGCGGGGUGGGGAGAAGAGGUAGGCGAGAUGUCUGGUUAUUGGAUACUGAGGUGGAAGGAAGGUUACUGGAGUUUCUGAUUACUUGAAAAAUGCUUGAAGUGGGUACUUUAGUCCUGUUAUGGGUGGUGCCUGUAUUUUCUUCAGGAAAAACAACUUUAGAAGAGAAGUGAGGAAGAGAGGGCGGAACAGGAUGGAAUUCAGGCAGGCGUUUGAGGGGCUCACAGUUAUACUGAUCUGAACAACCAGUUUGAAGGGACAGGAAACACAAAUCAAGUCCUCUUUGAAGCGACGUACAAAGAAAAAAUGUGAAAUGUUGUGGAUGAGAAACAUCAUUUUACUAAUACUGGAAAAGCAAAAAUACCAAUCUCUAAAUGAGGAAAAGUAGGCUGGACAACAUCUGUACUUCAGGCAAGGCAGGGGAGGAGUGGGAGACCUUGAAAGAGAAUGGUGGGGGUUUGGUGUGUCUGACUUUGGUCAGGGCAGUGUGAAAUUGUGGACAAGUAUUUCCGCAAAGCUUUGCGGCAUUGCUGGGGAGGGGUUGCUGCUGCAGCCAAUCCUCACCACAUUAGCAGCGCACAAUAAAUAAAAACCGAGGUUGCUUGGUGAAUUAUUGUUAAUCGGCUGAUGGAGAUCUUGACUUUUACAGGUAAGGAACAAGUCGCAUGAAAGUAUGGUAAAUCCUUAACAGCUGGUAGAAGGUUUUGUAUUUAAUAGUUGAUAAAUAUUGUCCAUUGUUGUUAUGAUUUAAUGUUACUGCAGUGUUAGAUAUAGGUUUUUCUGCUCCAGCUGCCCCAAAUGUCAAAUUGUAUGAGCUAGAACUUUGAUAAGCUUUAGCUGGUGUGGGAUGCACGUGACCGUGACUUCAUGCCAGGAAGGUACGUGCUGGCCUCUUUCUGUGCCUUACCGGUUUGGGCAACAGCUUCAUUUCUGGGGGCAGCUGCAUCUCCUCUUCAUAAUUUUUCAUGAAAGUUACUGCUUCUGAAAUUAUCUGUUCAUCCGGGUUAGUUCUCUCUCAAAUCCCUGAUUGUUGCCUUGGAUUAAUUACUAAUCAUCAUUUAGAGAAUGAUGUAUAUUCUGCAAAGAGCAGUUUCAUCUCCGCGUUUCAUCCCUUUUUUCCUUUCAGUUUCUCUUCCUCCAAAAGCUCCUCUCUCUUCUGAUAAUGCUCCUAACUCUUGCUCUUGGAGCUCAUCACAACUAAGUAUUUUCUUACGGGAAAGGAGAUUACUCAUGCAGAGAUGUUCUAGCCUUCUCCCAGAUAUCUGUUUCCUACAACUCACCCCUAAUUUAAUUUUUCAUUCUUAGUAUCCCGCUGUUUCUCCGUAUGCCAGGCACAUAAAUAAGUAGAUCGCUAUUAACUGUCUCCAUAAACCUGACUCCUGAAAUAUUUCUCCUAUUACCUUAUAUAUUGACUUUGGGUACAUGUGCGUACACAGGUGUAUGGCACUUCAGACUAAAGCAUAAAUCCUCAGGGGCUACCAAGAGGCUUAAUUUAUCAGUUGAUUACUGUAUAGCUGCCGCCAUGCAUUUUCUUUCUUCUUAUUUGAAACAUCUGGAACUCACUGCUGAUGAGAUGAGAGUAGUUAACUGCUUGUAAAUCAGAUACAACCGGGAGAUCACAAACGAAACCUGUCGCGUUCGGGUGAUGGCGCUUUCCGGCUGCUUCGCAGGGUUCCGGCACUGUCAAAGAAGACGCAGUUUGAAUUCUUCCUGCCCUCAGAGGUUCUCCCAAGGAGUCCCAACCACUCUUCCCCUGGAAACUGCUCGUCUCUGCCCACUGCAGCGAGACAGCCGAGAAGAAAUGGAUGUUUUGUUCUGUCGCUCAUGUCCUGCUGUCUCCAGGCUGUAGUGACAGCACCAGAGAGCUAAAUGACACAAUUACGCGUGUUCCUCUGCUGCAUAAUGUUGGAUCCGUGCAGCCCCAAGGCAGGUGGAGGCUUUACCGACAGAGGUUUGUGAAGACCUUUGAUGCACAGAAUGGGACAGAACUUGCAAUCUCAGUGUUCUGUUGGACAGGACACCGCCUCCUGUCCCACUCAUCCCUGACACUUCAGAUUGCUGGUAAAAUAACCUGAGCAAGCCAUCUGCCCUGUAAUUUGAUGCAGAAAGACACUUCUGUGUGCUGUAAGAGGAGUCCCAGUGCACAAUGUCCAAAUGGACAAAUUCACAUCAGAGCCCCUACAGACAGAGAUGGUCAGAUGGGCCAUCUCUGUGCAGGACUUGGAGUCCUCAGUGAAAAUACUGCCUAAGAAAAAAGGGAUAAAUACGAAACAGAAAUGGCAUGGAAAGUGUUAAGAGUUCUAGGGCUGCAAGUAGACGACAGCAAAGACUCCCUCUCACACUUUGAAUCAAUGUUGAAUCUCAUGGCCUGAGUAAAUAUGGAGAAAGCUGCAAUGCUACUAGUUUGUAUAUACUGCAGUAUAUAGCAGAAAUCCAUCAAAGUCAGGGCCAGACACACCAAAAGGAAGAACAAAUAAAUACACUCUCGGAAACUUUACAGGAGUCAACAAAAGACCUCUACUGCAGUUAAGCUCCAAAGGAAAAUCUGAUUUGGCUGGAAUGAAAGGGAGAAGGAACUGGGAUAAUUUCAAAACUUAACAUGAUGCAAAGCUUAAAUUGCAUUAAAUUAAUGCAAAGCUUAAAUUGCACUAAAAUAAUUUUACUGGUGGAAAGGAUUUAUUUGAAUGUUGGGUUUUGGUAAAUUUAUUGGGAAUAUCAAGGAAUUACGUGUUUCUGGAAAGUUGCGAAGCAGAAGCUGAUGUUAAAGUAGUUUGGUAUUGCUAAUGGGAUCAAAAACAUAGGACAGUAUAAGAAGAAAAGUACAGUCAUAACCCAGCUUGGGCAAGACGACUGUGCAGUGCUGACCCUGCACUCACAGGCACCCCUCACGCAGCUCUGUUGCCGCCCUGAGUUACAGAUCCUUGAAGACAGUAAGGAGCCCGAGAUCAUCCCCUCAGUCCCUCCAAGCUCUGCUCUUCUGGGAGGCUGCGAUCUGACGAUGUUUCAGACUUUCAGGACCUGUUUUGCCUUCUCUCUCUCUCAGCCCCUCCGUGGGGGCAACGGCAGCAAACAUCCCACUCCCACAGCGUGGAGAGGGUUUCCCGCACUUUGCUGCUCCCGCGUCGUGGUUUAACCCCAGCCAGCAACUAGGACCACGCAGGCACUCACUCACUGCCCCCCAGCUGGGAUGGGGGAGAGAAUCAGAAUUGUGAAAGUGAGGAAAAAUUUGUGGGUUGAGAUAAAGACAGUUUAGUAGGUAGAGCAAAAGUUGUGCACGCAAGCAAAGCAAAACAAGGAGUUCAUUCACUGCUUCCCAGCGGCAGCAGGUGUUCAGCCAUCUCCAGGAAGGCAGGGAAGACAAAUGCCAUAACCCCAAAUUUCCUUCACUUUCGUCCUCCUUCCCCCAGCUUUAUAUACUGAGCAUGAUGUCGUAUGGUAUGGAAUAGCCCUUUGGUCAGUUGGGGUCAGCUGUCCUGGCUCUGUCUCCCCCAACUUCCUGUGCCAUACUACGGCCACCAAGUGUAGCAGUCUCACUUUCAACUGUUCUGUUAAAAACUGAGCAACUAAAGGCUACUUCUAAAUAACCCAGCGCCACGAUGGUUAAUCAGGCCGGCCAUCGUUAUCUGGGAGAUAUAGAGGUGGCUGUCCUAGUAGCUGUCACUCACAGCAGCACCAAGUAUAAAUCACAGCGUUAAAAUAACAAGACAGCAGAGGAAAGCUGGGCCCCAGAAGGAUUAUCCUGCGUCCCAUCCCUCCUGAAAACACCCCAUGACCUUCUUCACGAAAUGGUAGUCAAAGAAAAGCACUCGGUUGGGUAGCAGUGCGCGUUCCCCUGGUGAAACUCUGGAAAGCAGUCUCUUCUCAAAAAUACUCCGGCUAGACAUUUUUCUUAUACGUUUAGCACACAGCUUUCUCUUGGAAGUUUAUUUGAGUAUUUCUGAAGAUGCUGAUCUUUUUUUCGAAGACCCCGUGCUUCCACUAUAGAUGAUAAUGGCUUUCUGUGGGGUAUGUGGUACACAUCUACUGGCCAAAAUGAUUCGUAAUUUUUACUUUCAGUUUAACUUAGGUUUAAUUGUCUCGAUUUAAGCCUCUUGCGCUAACACUAAGCUGCUUUUGUUUUUACUUUGGAUCCAAUAAUUUUAAUGUUUGCUCCAUAUGGCAGUGGGUUUUCGAGGGGAAAAACAAGGUCUGAGACGGAGUUAUUUUGAAUGGAUUGAAAUUAGGAAAGUGAAACUAAAAAUAUAAAUAGGAAACACCCGGCUAAUGUGACAUAUACAUAGGGAAUUCCUGUGUGAUACAAACAUAUUCAAAAACAUGACAAAAUUUGUCACGUCUUAUGUUCAGCCCUUCUGUAUCUACGGCGCAUUCUCUGUGCCUCCAGCAGCAGGUGGAUAAGCAGCACGGCUACUCCUCUGGGGUGAGUGCCAAAGAAUAACACUUAUAACAUAUAUUUCAGUGAUCCUAAACAAUGAGUUACACCUCCUUGUCAAAAGUAUUUUUGUCAAGCAUAACUGGGCCAUGGGCUUAUUCUGUGAGUGUGAUAUACUUCGUUAGCCAAGUUUCCUUCACAGUCAGUUGGAUUGUUGGCACAGGGAGGAGUACAGGUCUGACAAUCCACUUUUUUAGUCCAGUAGGUAUAUUGGUAAAUAUUCUGUCUUUGAGACUAUUUAACCAUUUGUUAAAUUGGUAAAACCAAUGCUGCUUUACCUGGAGUCUGAAAUCUGGGUCCUCUUCCAGUUGUGGCUGUGUCCUGUGAGGGCAGGCUGGGGGUUUCACUCCCAAAGGUGGUAUGUCAGAGACACGUAUUCCUCCUAGAUCUGCAGGCUGAAAUGUUCGUGAGACCACCCUGAACUCACUUCAGUUCAAACAUGGAAGGUUAGCCAAGAUCUUCUACUUAAACCAGCUGAUUUCAACUAAAGACCUUUGGAAGCAAUUGUUAUGAUCCUUUCUCUCAAGUCACCGGCAGUUCAGAAGGUCCUGCAGGUAGCAGCAGGUCAUUUCUAACCACAGCUGAUGCAAAUCCACCUGAAACCAAGUCUUGAUGUUGCUUUACUUAAAGCACAAGUCUCUCUUUCCCUGUAAAGAAGAUGUGAGAUACGGGAGGUGGCUAGCUGGCAUGUUUCUGCCUCUGCUAGCAUUCCUCUACUUGCAUUUAAGUUGUAGGUCUCUCUCCACCGCUGGGCUCUCAGGUGGGCAGUUUUUCAGUCCUUGGCUGAUCCAAAACUAGCCCAAAUUGUUGGAGAACAAAUUCCCUGCCAUGUGAUAGCCCUUUGGCCAUCUCUGUGAAACAACUGAUGAUUCUGGUCUAGUUGAUGGCUGAAAAUGUUUACAUGUCAUUAAAAUCAUUGUGACAACCACUACUUUUCAUGCCACGUCAGUCAUAAACCUGAAGGUUAAAUGGAAAGUGUCUCUCCACCAUACUCCUGGGACAUUGGUCACUCUGAGGCUACUGAGAUGGGGGGGCUGUGUGUGCCUGUUGGGUGUGACCAACAGGGAUGACAAAGUCAGCAGAUCCUUCACUUUGGGAUCUGGGCCCGGCACUGCGUUUACCUCUGCCUUGUCCACGCGGGGGUCUUCAGCCAGCUCCUGGCUCCAUUCUGCUGCGGCACUGAGCAGAGAUGAGUCAGUGAGGGGGGCGCCUGGCUUUUUUUACCUCUCCGGCCCAAUGAUACAAACACAAAAAAAAAACCCCCAAAUUCUAAUUUACGCAAAGAGAGGAAACAAAGAUUUAGUCUUUAAAAUCCUAGCCAAGACAGAACAUGGCACGCAAAGGACUCCUGUUCAUUUGCAGGGGAUUGCAGGUUUUCCCAGGGGCCAGAGCCCACUUCACCACCUGCGUGGAGUCUGAGGGGGUUCUGCUGCCAGCGGUCACGGUCUGUGCUUGAGGCCAGGGGUAUAACAGCAUUAUGUCCCGCUAUUCAUCUGAUGAGAAGUCUCUGUGUCUUGCUGGGAUGCACAGGUACCCGGGUUACUUGAGGAAAGCAAAAUCAUCGCACUUGAUGUUUCUCACAUCAAAAGCAUUCAGGAAAUCUUAUCACCGUUGCCAAAUCCUUUUGUUCUCUUUAUAAAAAUGAGAAAAUGACCUCAUUGAAGCGCUGUGAGACACUAGCCUUUGGAUGUUUAACGGUCUUUUGAAAACUUUUAUUUUGAGAUACGCUGCUUUCUGACAUGACAGAAAGCAGUAGCAUCUCAAUGUUUCAGAGACUAUAAACAGAAUAAAACAUUCAGAGUAUGCACUGUAUUUAGAACACAUAUUCUUACCUUUUGAUCUCAACAAAUUUACUGGUUGAGACAAUCUUACUGGAAAUCAGUGAAAGCUCUGUUUUCUGGUUUUCUUUUUCUACUUUUUUUUUUUCCUUUUUGGCAUUAAAUGAUAAUGCACUACGUACGGUCUUUUAUAUAGGGACUUCAGAAACAUUUAAAAAAUGAUGGAAAGUCUGUUAAAGUGGUAGGUAGGUAGGCAAGAUUUAACUUCUCUAAGACUUUUUAAGUGUUUCUUUCAUUUAUUAUUAUAGUGGAGCAUAACUUCUGAAGCUAGCAGCAAUCUAAUCCUAAUUGCUAGUACCACAGGGCUAAGUUAUAAAAGACUUUUUAACUAAGGAGAAAUACAAGCUAAGUUGUACAAACCUUUAGUUUAGGAUUAGAUAAAAAAAUGGACACUCCUUAAACGUUGCCUCACAGAGAGCUGUGAAGGGAAAUUGAUUCAUCAGAUCUCACCAGCUUUAUUCUAGAUAUUUAGGAAGAAAUUUCUCCCUGUGAGGGUGGUGAGGCACUGGAACAAGUUGCCCAGGGAAGUUGUGGGUGCCCCAUCCCUGGAAGUGUUCAAGGCCAGGCUGGAUGGGGCUUUGAGCAGCCUGGUCUAGUGGGAGGGGUCCCUGCCCAUGGCAGGGGGGUUGGAACAAAUGAUCUUUAAGAUCCCUUCCAACCCGAACCCUUCUAUGAUUCUAUGAUUUUCCCCUCCGGUUUCCCAGUGCCGAUUCACUUUGGCCACAAGUGGUCUUUUGGAGCUGCACUGAAAGCCUGCCAAAGGUCUUUCUUUUCUUUCACACCAAUUCAGGUGACACUUUUCAGAAUCUGAAGGUUUCCCGGUCACCACCACACUACCCUGGGCACGAGCAUCAUUGCCUACCAGUACAAUAGUCUUCCCUACAUGCAACUCACGCUUGCUCCUGAAGCGAUGCCUCUGUGGAUGCCUUGUGCCGACUCCAUUUGCUGUGCCCUCCUGCGUGGGGUUUCAUAAGCUUCUUACAAACCACAGCAUCGUAUGUCCAGGGGCUGUACAGAGGUAGGAAGCGGACCUGAAAACUAACAGAUACCAUCAGCUGACGGAUAGUCCGUGGAAGAGAAAUCUCCUGCACAGUCACGCUUGCAGAAGGAGUUUAACUUGCUUGAUAUGGAAGCACCUGAAGCUCCAUUCAGAAAUAUCCAAACUCUUCUGUAAAGUACAACAGGGAGCUGGACUAGCAGCAACAGGAUUUAAAAAAAAAAACAAACCGCAAAUGUAAAACUGGGAUUAGAAGCAAUUAUUUCAAUAUGACUUGCAGUAUAACUGAAAUUUGGUACAAACACAUUCCAUAGUGGAAAAAAAUGGCUUUGCUCUACUUAACCUUUUAGUAAAUAUCACAUAAUGUCUAUACACAAUUUUUUUCUUUUCAUGUUGGCACUUCGCUACUGAAAUUUUACUUUGCCUACUAGUUCGCUUGAAAACAAGUGUCAACCAGAGUUCAGCUCUCCGGUACACAGAGCGAGCUUUAAAGACAGCAAGCUGUGGCAGGCACACAAACAAACCAACCCGAGGGUCUCUGCCUUUUAAACAAACCCCCUUUCCCUCCCCCUUUCCAGCCAGUAAACAGCUUCUGGCUGCAGAUUUGGUCCUCUACAGAAGAGAUUUUGAAGAUGCCAGCUGACCUGUGCAGCAGCCUGGUAAUCCUCAAAUCAUCUGCUCGCCGUGCUCAUGUGGAGAUGUCACCGAAAAGGCUUGUUGACAACCUUCUGCUGCAGUAAAGAUAAGUCUGUAAAACUCCCACUAUCUUACUCAGUUCAACUUUACCGCACGGUUGAAUAAAACUUCCCCUUCUGACAAAUUCCGAAAGACUGUUAACAGAAGAAAAAAUCUAUGGAAAAAAUACUUCUGGCUUCCAGUUUGCUCUGGGUUAGACUAA